ensembl:lincRNA
AUGACUCCUCUUCCUGUUCCCGGGAGACGCGGCGAGACAGAAAAGAGGCGCUCGAGGGACGCCAGCACAUUCACCACGAGCCGACCGGCGGCUCCGCGCCGCCCCUGCCGGCCCCAGGCCUUCCCCCCGACAGAGGGGCCCCUGCGGCCGGGAGGCGCGGUGGCGCAGCGGCCGCGGCCGCCUUGGUUCCGGCCCCGCGCUCGGGCUCGGCGCGCAGGGCCCGCCGGGCUCCUGCUCCGCGCGCUGCGGCCGCCGGCUCAGCCCACGAAGCAGAAACGACUCUCGCUCGAAGAGGUCGCAAGGGAAAAUGGCUUCGGGUUUUCCAGUAGACGCUGGAGAACUAACCCCACCCAACUGCCAAGAGCUGGAGAAAAGAGAUUCUUACCAUGGUUGCUGCUUCGCGGCUGCCGAGCAGAUGGCGGAGAAGAGGAGAGGUUUUUGCUUCUUACAGCGCGACUCUUAGGCGGUCGAUGUAAGAGAACCUGCGGCACAUGGGCGGAUGCGGCUGCCUAUAUACAGCUCGGUCACCAUGGGGAUGGACCGGGGCCUUUUCCUGUUGGUCCAGACCCCUCAAUCUGCCCAGAGAAGCCACGACAAGAGAGUGGUGAUUGGUGCAAGCGACAUGGGAUGAGUUGGUCUGGAGGUGAUGUCACCCAGAUGUCAGAGUGGGACACUCCAGAGUUCUGUCCUCCCUGCAGAAUCUUUAUACAGCUAGCAAAACCUGGAAUAGCCAUCCUUCUCAGAGCUCCAGAAAACAUUUAAAGUGGUGCAAUAACUGGGCAAGUGCUGAAUCAAGAAGAAGGCAACUUAAAGAUGGUAUAAAAACCUUGCAGCACCAUUUCUAGCUCUUUCCUGACCUCUCCACAGCCCAGUGUAAAGCCAGCCAGUGCUCUCCAUGUGGGUGCCUGGUCCUGGUUCUGGAGGGAGUGCAUGUGUGCCUGCACCGGGCGACAUCCUGAAGGACUGAACCUGAACACUCCUCUGCGGCUCCCCAUCCUAGAACGUGCCUUGUAUGCAGAAGCAGCUUGUAGGCAGCUAAAUCAGUGUAAGAGACAAUCAAAUUGUAGUGCCUGGGGCAAAGGACUACCAGCUCUAAGACAUAAAAUAGAGGGCCUGGGACCAAGAGGAAAGACUGUUUCACAGGAAGAAGAGGGGACAUUCAGAAUUAUGUAAAUGAGGGAAUGCCCAAGGCCAUGAGUACAUGCCCAGGACGAGAUGCAUGCUCAGACUGUUCUUUAGGUUCCUUGCUAUCAGGGCAAAGCUCUGAAGGAGAGCACCAGCCAACACAGAGCUAAUUUGCAAUGACUAUGAAAGGUGUGUUUGUUGGUUUGUUGGUUGGUUUUUCUUAGCUUCUCACAUUCAAACAAAUCUCUAUCAUAUCUCUAGUUAGGUACAAACUUACAGACACAUCAAGGACUAAAUUCCAGAGUUAACACUUUGGAAUAUUAAAAUGUACAACAUGCACCAAAAAUUAUAAGGCAUACAAAGAAAGAAGAAAUGAUGACCCAUCCAAAAGAGCAAGAUUAGACAUUAGAAACUAUCAAUGAAGAAAACCAGACUCUGGACAUACAAGACAAAGACUUUCUAAAAAUGAUCUUAAAUAUGCCCAGAAAGCUAGAGGAAAACAUGGACAAGGAAUUAAAUUAUAUUUAAACAAAAUGAGAAUUUUGGUAAAGAGAUAGAAAUAAUAAAAACAGAAAUACUGGAGUUGAAGACCACAAUAUCUGAAAUUAAAAUCCCCUAGAGGGGUUCAACAGCAGACCAGAGCUAUCAGAAGAAAGAAUCAGUGAACCUGAAGAUAAAACAAUUGAAAUUAUUCAGUCUAAGGAGCAGAAAGAAAAAAGAACGAAGAAAAGGAACAGAGCCCAAGAGAUCUGUCAGACACUAUCAUACCAAUAUAGGCAUUAUGAGAGUUCCAGAAGAAAAAGAAAGAGAGAAGGGGGAAGAAAGAAACUUCCCACAUUUAACAAGACCCAACAAUACAUAUCCAAGAAGUUCAACAAACUUCAAACAGGAUGAAACCCAAAUAGACUGACACUGCAACAUAUUAUAACCAAACUGUUGAAUGCCAAAGACAGAAUCCUGAAAGCUGCAAAGGAGAAGCAAUACAUCAUAUACAAGGGAGCCUCAAUACGAUUAAGUGCCAAUUUCUCAUCAAAAACCAUGGAGGCAAGAAGACAGUGGGACAAUAUAUUCCAAGUGCUGAAACCAAAAAAUUGUCACCCAAGAAUUCUAUAUCGAUAAAACUGUAUUUUAAGCCUAGACAGUUAGCAAUGAUAAAGGGAGUUCUUUAGAUUAAAAGGAAAGGACACUAUGCAAUAAAUUGAAGCUUCGUAAAGAUAAAAGGUAUCUGGUAAAGUAAUUACAUGGUAAUUAUAAUUGCCAGUGCUAUUGUAUUUUUGGUUCAUAAAUCUACUUUUUUCUGUUUACAGGAUCUAUAACACAAGUAAUGACACAUCUAUGGUUUUGAACACACAAUGUAUAAAGAUGUAAUUAUAACAAGAAUAUAAAGGAGGGGGAUGGAGAGGUAUAAGAUCAGAGUUUGUGUAUGCUAAUGAAGUUAAGUUGUUAUUAAAACAAAUGAGAUUGUUAUAGAUAUAGGAUGUUAUAUUUAACUAUAAAGAAAAUAUCUGAGGGAGCAGAGGUGGCUCAAGCCAUUGGGUACCUCCUUCCCACGUAGGAGGUCCUGGGUUUGGUUCCUGGUGCCUCCUAAAAAGAAGACAAGCACACAAUGAGCAGACAGCAAGUAUAAAGAACAAGGGGGGGGGGGGGAGUAGUAAAUAAAUAAAAUAAAUCUUUAAAAAAAAAGCGCAACAUGAGGAAAAAAAAUACCUGAGAGAUAUUCAAAGAUGGAAAUAAGGAACUCUAAAUGGUUCACUAUUAAAAAAGGUCAAUUAAAUGCAGCUGUACUUUUUGAAUCAGGAUCCAAACAAGGUCCACAUAUUACAUGUAGUUGUUCAUCUCUUUUCAUGUUGUUUAAAGUCCCUUUUUUCCUCUCACUGACUUGCUGAAGAGACUGGGUCAGUUGUCUUAUCUCCCUAAAUUUUUGCACUUUUCUCUUAAAGUUGCUUUGUUUGGGUCUUGCUCCUUCCCUUCCUUCCCCCACUCCAGCUUUCCUGCUGCUAUCAGAGCCAUCUUCUAUAAUGCAGUUUGGAUCAUGUUCCUUCCCUGCUUGAAACUCUUCAGUGGUUUCCAUGAGCUACCAAGAUAAAACCCAAACUCCUUCCCUUAGUCAUAUAACACCUUCUCUGAUCUCUAUGCUUCCUCAUACUGUGCAGGCCAGAAAACUUCUUGCUUCCCCCAAAACACUGGGCUCAUGCAAACCUCUCUAUUUGGAAUGCCAUGUACUCACAUUCCUUCCCCCUGGAAAAUAUCCCUCUUUCCCAAAGCUCAGCUCAAGUAUCACCUUCUCUAUGAUGUUUUUCUGAUUCUUUGAACCCCAGCCAAGGAAAAUUGACCAUUGCCUCCUCCUGUCAAGGCCCCACAGUGUUCCUCUGCGCGUAAGUGUUGAUACUGCUGGCUCCUUCCCAGGCUCCGCGGCGUGGGUCCUACUCAGUAGAGUCGUCUUAUCAGCCGGUAGAGGCUUAGCAAAUAAACACUUGUGAAUGGGUGAAUGAAUGAUGAAUGAAUGGGUUUCAAAUACCACCUGAGAAACACUAAGUUUGCUCCAAGAAGAAUUUCCUAAUAGCCACUGCUGCUCAAAGCUCUUGGCCAGUGGAUUUUAAUUUUCCAAAUGAAGAUUUUGGACUAGGUAGUCUCUAAGAUAUUUUCCAACUCUACCCCUU